rnacentral:rRNA from 1 species
CGGCGGACGGGUGAGUAAUGCCUAGGAAUCUGCCUGGUAGUGGGGGACAACGUUUCGAAAGGAACGCUAAUACCGCAUACGACCUACGGGUGAAAGCAGGGGAUCUUCGGACCUUGCGCGAUUGAAUGAGCCGAUGUCGGAUUAGCUAGUUGGCGGGGUAAAGGCCCACCAAGGCGACGAUCCGUAGCUGGUCUGAGAGGAUGAUCAGCCACACUGGAACUGAGACACGGUCCAGACUCCUACGGGAGGCAGCAGAC